rnacentral:rRNA from 1 species
GACAAACGCUGGCGGCGUGCCUAAUACAUGCAAGUCGAGCGCAGGAAACCGUCUGAACCCUUCGGGGGGAUGACGGCGGAAUGAGCGGCGGACGGGUGAGUAACACGUAAAGAACCUGCCCACGGGUCUGGGAUAACCACGAGAAAUCGGGGCUAAUACCGGACGGGUCAUCGGACCGCAUGGGCCGAGGCUGAAAGGCGCUCCGGCGUCGCCCGUGGCUGGCUUUGCGGUGCAUUAGCUAGUUGGUGGGGUAACGGCCCACCAAGGCGACGAUGCAUAGCCGACCUGAGAGGGUGAUCGGCCACACUGGGACUGAGACACGGCCCAGACUCCUACGGGAGGCAGCAGUAGGGAAUCUUCCACAAUGGACGAAAGUCUGAUGGAGCAACGCCGCGUGAACGAUGAAGGCCCUCGGGUCGUAAAGUUCUGUUGUAAGGGAAGAACAAGUGCCGCAGGCAAUGGCGGCACCUUGACGGUACCUUGCGAGAAAGCCACGACUAACUACGUGCCAGCCGCCGCCGUAACAC